rnacentral:rRNA from 1 species
CUCAAAUGAAUUGACGGGGGCCCGCACAAGCGGUGGAGCAUGUGGUUUAAUUCGAUGCAACGCGAAGAACCUUACCUGGUCUUGACAUCCACAGAACUUUCCAGAGAUGGAUUGGUGCCUUCGGGAACUGUGAGACAGGUGCUGCAUGGCUGUCGUCAGCUCGUGUUGUGAAAUGUUGGGUUAAGUCCCGCAACGAGCGCAACCCUUAUCCUUUGUUGCCAGCGGUUAGGCCGGGAACUCAAAGGAGACUGCCAGUGAUAAACUGGAGGAAGGUGGGGAUGACGUCAAGUCAUCAUGGCCCUUACGACCAGGCUACACACGUGCUACAAUGGCAUAUACAAAGAGAAGCGACCUCGCGAGAGCAAGCGGACCUCAUAAAGUAUGUCGUAGUCCGGAUUGGAGUCUGCAACUCGACUCCAUGAAGUCGGAAUCGCUAGUAAUCGUAGAUC